UGGAGACGUAUGGAAGAUUCACUUUCUUCUCAUUAAUGUUAAGGAUGAUAUUGAAUUACACCCAAACGAUGAAAAACCCCUCUUCUUGCUCUGUCCUAUUGAAGUGGAACUCGACAAUACACCAGUAUUUAAAGCAAAACCCUGUGAAAAAAAAGGUACUAGUCAUUGCAUCUGCCAACAAAUCCCUUCCACAGCUAGCAUUGACAAGAAAAAUUUCUACUGGACCCCUAAUACCCGCGUCAAAAGAUAUAUCAAUUUAACUAUCACUGAAAACACAUUGUAUUGUAGUUUAGUGAUAUAUAAGGCUAUUCUGAUGCUUUUUCUUCUUGUUUAUUAAACAGUAAUCUAGGCGAUGUGGACGUCUGAGCAGAUAGAAAACAAGGACAACAUUCCUUACGUAAAAUUACCGAUGGACCUUAAGAAGUUGCAUACUGCUAGAAAGAUGUGAGGAAUCCUUCUGCACUCAGGAGAAAGGGAGUCAUCAGAAAGUCGUGAAAAGGGAAAUGAGUGAUAAAAAAUUUAAAACAUAGUAGCUCUACCAAACUGAUUCAGGAAAAAUAUACUAUGAAAAGGG